GGGCACAUGGUGUAGUUGGUUAUCACAUCCGCUUAGCAUUAGCUUUGUGUUUGCGGGGGGUGCUGGGUUCAAUUCCCAGUGUGUCCA